UACGUAGGGUGCGAGCGUUAAUCGGAAUUACUGGGCGUAAAGCGUGCGCAGGCGGCGCGUUAAGACAGGUGUGAAAGCCCCCGAGCUUAACUUGGGAAUUGCGCUUGUGACUGGCGUGCUGGAGUGUGGCAGAGGGAGGUGGAAUUCCACGUGUAGCAGUGAAAUGCGUAGAGAUGUGGAGGAACACCGAUGGCGAAGGCAGCCCCCCUGGGUCAAGAUUGACGCUCAUGCACGAAAGCGUGGGGAGCGAACAGG
rnacentral:rRNA from 1 species